CUAAACAUAAGUUAACAUAUAUUUGCUACUCUCAAAAAAUCGCAAAUACUCUAAAUAUGAUUGCUAACGGGUGGAUUGAAGAAGAGGAAUUCUAUCCAUGGUUUAGGAUGAAGGUGCUCAGAUCGUAUGUCAAGCGCGAUUUUAUGGUAAAUUCAAUUUUUUAUUUUUUUAGUUAACAUGAAAUGAUUUUUACCUUAUUUCCAUUACGCUUGUGCAGUUCCUUUCAAAGAGUAUCUGUCAAUAUCUUCCUCCUAGUAUGGCUAAGACAUUACUACGAUAUAACGGGAAGGAGUAGAAUGUGACUCUAACAGGUGUUGUUCGAAGAAGACUCGUUAACGAGUGGAAAUAAUUUGUUGUCGAUAACAAGUUGAAGAAAGGGAGUGCAGAGGCU
rnacentral:lncRNA from 1 species